GGCGUCGUCGGCCACGUUGGUGACGGCGGUGCCGUUGGAGACGGCAAAGGUGGUGUCGUCCAGCUCACCCAGGUUCCAGACCUGAGCGGUGCCG
rnacentral:tRNA from 1 species